GGGCCUNAAGCUACCGUUGCCGGCUCUGUGAGUNUUCGGUUAAAUGCAUGCGCUCAACGUAUGGGCUGCCGGAAAUACUGCAUAGCUAGGGAGUGGGAGAGGUAGACGGUACUCGGUAGGAAGGGGUAAAAUCCUUUGAUCUAUCGAUGACCACCUGUGGCGAAGGCGGUCUACCAGAACACGUCCGACGGUGAGGGAUGAAAGCUGGGGGAGCAAACCGGAUUAGAUACCCGGGUAGUCCCAGCUGUAAACUAUGCAAACUCAGUGAUGCAUUGGCUUAGUGCCAAUGCNGUGUUGC
rnacentral:rRNA from 1 species